AAUAGAUACCCGGGUAGUCCAUGCCGUAAACGUUGGGCACUAGGUGUGGGGCUCAUUCCACGAGUUCCGUGCCGCAGCAAACGCAUUAAGUGCCCCGCCUGGGGAGUACGGCCGCAAGGCUAAAACUCAAAGGAAUUGACGGGGGCCCGCACAAGCGGCGGAGCAUGCGGAUUAAUUCGAUGCAACGCGAAGAACCUUACCAAGGCUUGACAUGCACGGGAAGCCACCAGAGAUGGUGGUCUCUUUGGACACUCGUGCACAGGUGGUGCAUGGUUGUCGUCAGCUCGUGUCGUGAGAUGUUAGGUUAAGUCCCGCAACGAGCGCAACCCUCGUCCCAUGUUGCCAGCGGGUUAUGCCGGGGACUCAUGGGAGACUGCCGGGGUCAACUCGGAGGAAGGUGGGGAUGACGUCAAAUCAUCAUGCCCCUUAUGUCUUGGGCUUCACGCAUGCUACAAUGGCCGGUACAAGGGCUGCGAUACCGUAAGGUGGAGCGAAUCCCAAAAAGCCGGUCUCAGUUCGGAUUGGGGU
rnacentral:rRNA from 1 species